UGUGGUUAUAUGUGUGUGUGGUUGUAUUUGUGUGUGUGUGUGUGUGUGUGUGUGUGUGUGUGGUUGUAUAUGUGUACAUAUGUAUGUAUAUCUAUAGAAAUCUGUGUAAUACUGCACUACUGCACUUACCUUGCAGGAGCUUGAAUGGAACAUGUUAGAAAUGUUAAUCUCAGAAAUAGAUUUUUUUGAACAAAUUUGAAUAAAUAAUAAUAAAUGUUGAUUAGAAAUUUGAGCAGUUAAUUCAUUUUGAAACAACUGCAUUCAUGUCCGUAUGAACAAUAAAUGUUGGGAGUCAUCUACCUGACAGGGUUAGAAUAUUGUUUCAAUAUUAGAAUAUUGUACAGGUCCAAUGGGGACUAUAAUCUCUGUUUAACUUGAUUAAUAUGCAGCAAAUCUUAUCUAUUUUUUCAAUACCUGUGAAUCAUUCUGUCGCCAUCACUGAAUCAUUCUCCACCUGUGAAUCAUUCUGUCGCCAUCACUGAAUCAUUCUCCACCUGUGAAUCAUUCUGUCGCCAUCACUGAAUCAUUCUCCACCUGUGAAUCAUUCUGUCGCCAUCACUGAAUCAUUCUCCACCUGUGAAUCAUUCUGUCGCCAUCACUGAAUCAUUCUCCAUACCUGGAAAUCUGCAGGUCGGCGAGGAUGGAACACGGUAAGAAUAACUAAAAUCUGCUUUAUUUCUACAGUUAACGUUACUUAGCCUGUAACAUUACUGUUCAUAACGUUCAACAUACUAAUGUUUUUAUUUCUGAAAUGAUUGUGGAACCAAGCUAGCAAAUUGUCAUUAGCGUAGAUUUGAGUCAAAAUGUAUUUGGUAAUUAUUAAUAACUUUGAGUAAAAGCUAUUACAAUGAAUUCUUUCUCCAUGGGAGGUGAUAUGAUUUAAUUAACGUUAGCUGUCCAGAUUUUUAUUAAACCCUGAGUGCAGAUUUUCUCCCGCUUCGAGUAAAAUGUCAGGUGAGAAAUGAUCAUGUUAAUGGCCGAACGUUACCUACUGUUUUCACUGAAUUUCUCUUAUUUUUAGGCCAUUUUUGUUUACAUUUUGACAGUUCUACCACCCAUGUAUUAUAUUAAAUCAUGAUAGUGUGUGUGUGUGUGUGUGUGUGUGUGUGUGUGUGUAUGUUGCAGUUUACAGUUCGUUCAAGUGUCACCAGACAUCUGAGUAAAGUAAGAUUAAAUACUGUUUCAAAUUUGAUUUAGCCAGCUAUUUAGUCAAAUACUGACACAGGUUCACAUUACAGCAUUUAACACUGUUCUGAAAGUAUAAACAGCAUGAUCGGCAAAUCUCACAUUUCACUGAAAGUCUCAUUCAAUAAUAAACACUUGCGUACACUAUUCAUAUUUAUAUACACACGUCUCACGAAAACUUUCCACCUAAUUCACAACACACGCAUGCGCCACAGCAAUAACUGAUUAAUAAUGAUGGCUAUAGAAUGUAUUUGACUAAUAACAAUUGUUUCAGAAAUUCUUGAAAAAGGAAGUUAAAUUUCUCUGCUGCUGUUUGUUUCUUUCCUUCUCGGUUAAGAAUGUUCCAUUUAAUUGAGUUUCUGGUCAGCAAAACUGUAGCAGUAGUGCCACAAAAGUGGUGCAGCGAUGGAGUUGUCUAUUGGCCAAACUACAAAAAUGAUGAAAGAGUGAACAGGGUAGUGAAAAAUUCUGAGGAACCUGGACCUGACUGGAAAACAUAUGAUGCCAGAGUUAUUAAAUCAUGUGAUGACUACUUUGAGGCACGACAACUGUUGAAGAAAUCUCUGAUGUGUAACGCAUCAGUUCUACAGUCUGAAGAGGAAGAGAAGGAGAUUCGGCCAAAAAGAAGGCCAAAGCCAAUUGUUAUAUGAUAAACCCGACAACCACCACACAGGUGAAGCCAGCUGAAAUGGAGUUUCAAUGUCAUUUCUUGGGAGACUCUAAUGACAGUGAAGAGGAAGGUGCUCCUAAAAAGAGAGCCAGGGGACCAGGCAAACUCUUAAUACAACCACCAGCUUCUUUUAUCUCACCACCACCUUUUACCCUAAGUAGCGGCACAUCUGCUCCACCUCCACCCAUUUCCCGUCCUCACUGUUCACAGACACCAGCAGAGGAGCAAACCCCUUCUGCAAGCAGGGUCUACAGACCUACCUGGCGGUGGGGAAGAUGUGGAUCAGACAGUAUAGCCUGCUCUGCUGCAGAAGUCCACAUAAUGAGCUUGCUGGAAAUAAUAAAACAUCAACAAGAGCAAAUCAUGUCUAAAGUAAAUUAUUAGACGAGCAAGUUGAACCCAGCAGGCCAAGACAUGGAAAUGCCUGGCGAUGCAGUUGAGUUUCCAUUAACAUCAAUGGAAGAAGUGGAGAAUUUUGAGGAUUGGCUAAAAAAUCUAGCAAAUAAUCAAACAAAGUUUAGUGUGAUUUCCUCCCUGGCAACUAUUGGGGGCCAUGACACCAAACGUGUCACAUGGAACCUGCUUUCCGGCAUGUUCCAUGACGAUCUUGAGAGGACGAUCAAUUGCAAUUGAUUGGGAAAAAAUCCAAGAGUCCAAGAAGUACUCUUGUAUGCUGUGAGAAAGAACCAUGUCUCCCGCACUGCCACCGAUGAGGAAAUUACGAAGCAUGUAAUACGGUGGUUCAACCUGGCAGCAGAUAUGGGAAGCUCAAGGGGCCGUCCCACUGUCAGCAUCCUGACCCAAGAGUAUUUUAUGUUCUUUUUCAUUUAGUGAAACUAUGUUCUUGGUACAAUUUAUGGUUGAAGUUAUUUUU